UACGAAGGUGGCAAGCGUUACUCGGAAUUACUAGGCGUAAAUGGCAGGUAGGUGGUUUGGUAAGUCUGUUGUGAAAGCUCCUUGCUUAACGGGGAGAGGUCAACAGAUACUGCCAGGCUUGAGUAUGGGAGAGGGUACUGGAAUUCCUGGUGUAGCGGUGAAAUGCGCAGAGAUCAGGAGGAACACCGAUGGCGAAAGCAGGUACCUGGACCAUUACUGACACUCAGCUGCGAAAGCUAGGGGAGCAAACAGG
rnacentral:rRNA from 1 species